GGAGAAAAGCAGGGGAUCGCAAGACCUUGCGCUUUUGGAGUGGCCGAUGCCUGAUUAGCUAGUUGGUAGGGUAAUGGCUUACCAAGGCGACGAUCAGUAGUUGGUCUGAGAGGACGACCAGCCACACUGGGACUGAGACACGGCCCAGACUCCUACGGGAGGCAGCAGUGGGGAAUUUUGGACAAUGGGCGAAAGCCUGAUCCAGCAAUGCCGCGUGAGUGAAGAAGGCCUCCGGGUUGUAAAGCUCUUUCAGUCGAGAAGAAAAGGUUGUGACUAAUAAUCACAACUCAUGACGGUAUCGACAGAAGAAGCACCGGCUAACUACGUGCCAGCAGCCGCGGUAAUACGUAGGGUGCGAGCGUUAAUCGGAAUUACUGGGCGUAAAGGGUGCGCAGGCGGCUUUGUAAGUCAGAUGUGAAAUCCCCGGGCUUAACCUGGGAAUUGCGUUUGAAACUACAAGGCUAGA
rnacentral:rRNA from 1 species